CCCUAAUGAAGUGAAGAGACUUUUCUAGACAAGGACUGGUCUCUCGCCCCGUCUGCGCAGGCAUUCUAUUUUCCCCAUCCUCACCUUAACCAAUUUGCUUUGAGGCGUUAAAACGUGGGUGAAGGAUGGUGGACACAGAUGGUCAAAUUUAUCCCUUUCCACUUCCUGGACAUUCGUCUAUACACUGCCCCCACCCCAGGCAGUGGUCCCUACCUGCCCUGGGCUCACUUAGCCCCCCCUCGCCCCCGCCUCCGACGCUCACGUUCAGCUCAGAUUACAGGAGUAAACUGUAGGCAGCAGCCCGGAGGGACAGUUUAGACGUCAUUUAAAAACAGUGUCUCCCUCAGGGUGGAUACCUCCUGACCCGGUCCACGGCCACCUUGGGUUAGGAAGUGGAAUGCCCAGAACCAAGCAAGGUUUAGGCCUUAAUUUGGUUGUUGCCAUAUCAGAAUCAGGGCCUCAGAAAAGUAAACUGUGGGGCUUAAACCUUCUUUACGGUAAGUGUUACUCUUUGGUGAACCCACCGCAAAGCUUCGCCCAAGUGCCUCGAACCCAGGCUGGCUUGCCACGAAGAACGUGGCUGUCCCGCCGCCCUCAGAUUGCGCUCAAGAGGUAAUGGGAGAGGGAAUUGCGGGCCUAGAGUCUGGGGAAGUGUAAAGGGUUCAGCUUGUGGCCAACGUCUUCCUUCACCUUUCGCAGGCCUGAGGACUGCUUUUAUUUAUAAAUCUCUGGGAACUGAGAUAAAAUUUGGGCAAGAGAAUAAAACAUACUUCGAAAUUUAGAUCGAAGUGAAAUCACCAAAAACGCUGAAAGAAUACUCUUAUUGAGAUUUGCUGCACUGAAUGUGAGCUCCUGCCUGAUCAAACAUCCUCGCAAACCUUAGGGCAAAACCUGCACUGGGCAAAACCUCAACUUGUGGCUGAGAAGGAUAUCCACCACAGGGCUCCUGGCAAGGGUAUGUUUCCCGGCAAGUGAAGAGAACCAAGGCUUGAUUUAAAAAAAAAAAAAAAAUCCUGGUGUGUUUACAAAAAGAAAAAUAAGGGAUGAGGGGAAGCAAACCCCACAAACAUCUCAGCAUCAUGAGCAACUCCUUUUGAACAGUGUCUACUGUGAUCUCUUAUAGCAUGAUGUGCACAUACAUACAGAAGAAUAAAUACAUUGCACUUCACCCACUGUGUUCUCAUACACAGAGGUAUACAUUGUGGGAUAGGAGACUCCAAACACAAACAACUCAGUCAUCCAUUGAAUGUGUUAUUGUGACUUUUGGCCCCAGUAACAUUCCAAUUUUUUUUUCCCCUUAAAGAAAGGUGUAAAAAAAUGGGGGAGAGAAGCUUUGAGGAAAAGUAUGUAACACAUUAGGCCAAAACAAUACUUAACAUAAUAAUUUCCUUUUUUUUAACAAAGUUCUAACACCACCACCGUCUACAGCACAGAGUCAAAACCCAACAAGAUAAUCAACAGGAUAGGAAGUUAAAGGUUACUUUUGAUUCUGCUUUCUCAUCUAUUACUGAGUUGGGUGACCCCUGACACAUGAAAGACCACAUUUGUGCUCUGGGAGGCCCCCUCUAUAAAACCCACCUAGAACAAAGGUCUUUUGUCCAUAUAUAUAUAUAUAUAUAUAUAUAUAUAUAUCAUUAAGAAAGAGGGUAUGAGAAAAAGAUCUCAUAAGAUAAAGCUCUCCCAUGGCUUUGUGUCUUUUCUCUUUAUAAUUAAACUCUCUAGUUGAGCUAAUUAAAAAAAAAACCUCAGUAUAAAAUAUGUGCCUACCAGUAGUUUAUUGACAGGGAUGCAAAUACUUCUGUAAUUGUCAGAAAGGGGGUGAAGAAGCUGGAAGAACCCAGCCCCACCCCCACCCCCACCCCCAACUGGGUGACAGAAAUUGUGAUUUUAGGAAAAGAAGAGAACUAAUUGUCCUUGCUGCCUCUCCCCUCUUUUGAUAGGAAUGUUUUCAAUGCUGUACAACAAAACAAAAAUCAAACAGCCAAAACAUCAACAAGGAACAAACAACCCCCCCAAACAAAAACAAAUAAAAAAAAACCCACCCAGGAGGGUUACAGGAAUGUAUUUAAUUAUUUCAAAGAUUGUUAUCCUUUGGGCUUGUGGGCAACCCAGGGAUUGAAUGCCAUCAACAAACUAGCAUCUUUCCAAUAAAUUGCAGUAUUACUGCGGUAGAUUUUGUAAUACAAUUUAUGCUGUCAUUCAUAAAUAACAAUGCCAUAUGUCAACCAUAUUGCUUGCACAAGUAAAAGCAUCAAUGUGUCACUAUUUGAUUUAUCUCAACAGCUUCUCCAAGUAUAAAGUGUAGAUACUGAAGGGGAUGUUUUGUGGGGGAACAACAUCCAAAUUUUGAAAUAAAUAAACUCAUUGAAGCUUCUA